ensembl:snRNA U6 U6 spliceosomal RNA
UGGGCAACAGAGAAGAUUAGCAUGACCCCUGUGCAAGGAUGACACACAAAUUCAUGAAGACUUCCAUAUUGAA